AUUGAACGCUGGCGGCAGGCCUAACACAUGCAAGUCGGGCGGAUGACGGGAGCUUGCUCCUUGAUUCAGCGGCGGACGGGUGAGUAAUGCCCAGGAAUCUGCCUGGUAGUGGGGGACAACGUUUCGAAAGGAACGCUAAUACCGCAUACGUCCUAAGGGAGAAAGCAGGGGACCUUCGGGCCUGGCGCUAUCUCAUGAGACUAGGUCGGAUUAGCUAGUAGGUGAGGUAAUGGCUCACCUAGGCGACGAUCCGUAACUGGUCUGAGAGGAUGAUCAGUCACACUGAAACUGAGACACGGUCCAGACUCCUACGGGAGGCAGAAGUGGGGAAUACUGGACAAUGGGCGAAAGCCUGAUCCAGCCAUGCCGCGUGUGUGAAGAAGGUCUUCGGAUUGUAAAGCACUUUAAGUUGGGAGGAAGGGUUGUACGUUAAUACCGUGCAAUUUUGACGUUACCGACAGAAUAAGCACCGGCUAACUCUGUGCCAGCCGCCGCCGUAAGAC
rnacentral:rRNA from 1 species